rnacentral:piRNA from 1 species
CACCUGCUCCACACUGAGAUGUGUUCUAAC